GAGAGAGAGAAUAGAAUAUAUACAGUCUUAGAUUAAAAGAUAUAGGUUUAAAAUAAAGUCCUUUAAAAGGAAUACAGUAAUAAAAAAUAUAUAAACCACAUAAAGAUGGGAAAUACACAGAAUCUGGAUCCUAUGUU